CAACAACUGCAGCUCCAACUACAACAACUGCUGCUCCAACUACAACUGCUGCUCCAACCACCACAACUGCAGCUCCAACUACAACAACCGUGGCAACAAUACAAGGUUUGCUACCACUGGUGCAUCUCCAGUUUAGAGUGAAGUCUUUUGGAGUCAGCAAUGAAACCGUUAUUGAUCUUAUUGAAGAGUUUCUGAGAAACCAGCCCAGGUGCAAUGCCCAAGACAGUGAAAGUGACAAGAAUUCAAAGUGUGUCCACUCAACUCCAUCUCUGUGAUCUACCUAAUUACAUAGCAUUGGUUUUCCAGGAGGUUUCAAUCACUCCCAAGAAAUGUCACUGUGGGAUAAGCUGCCAAGCCCGGUAGACUAAUAACUACACAAAAGAGACAAUAUUUUAGAAUCACUACCAUGCUAACCUGAAUGAGCUUCCUUAAACCAAGAGUCUUUUCAGUCAGGCCAUAACAUUCAA